rnacentral:rRNA from 1 species
CCUACGGGAGGCAGCAGUGGGGAAUAUUGGGCAAUGGAGGCAACUCUGACCCAGCAACGCCGCGUGAGCGAUGAAGGUCUUCGGAUUGUAAAGCUCUUUAAGCGGGGACAAAGAAAGUGACUGUACCCGCAGAAUAAGCCCCGGCUAACUACGUGCCAGCAGCCGCGGUAAUACGUAGGGGGCAAGCGUUAUCCGGAUUUACUGGGUGUAAAGGGAGCGUAGACGGCUAAUCAAGUCAGAAGUGAAAACCCAGGGCUCAACUUUGGGACUGCUUUUGAAACUGAGUAGCUAGAGUGCAGGAGAGGUAAGCGGAAUUCCUAGUGUAGCGGUGAAAUGCGUAGAUAUUAGGAGGAACACCAGUGGCGAAGGCGGCUUACUGGACUGUAACUGACGUUGAGGCUCGAAAGCGUGGGGAGCAAACAGGAUUAGAUACCCCGGUAGUC